rnacentral:rRNA from 1 species
UACAGAGGCCUCGAGCGUUAGGCGGAAUCACUGGGCUUAAAGCGUGUGUAGGCGGACUUCUAAGUACCUUGUGAAAUCCCACGGCUCACCCGUGGAACUGCUCGGUAUACUGGUCGUCUUGAGCCAGCUAGGGGCGAGCGGAACAGACGGUGGAGCGGUGAAAUGCGUAGAUAUCGUCUGGAACGCCGAAGGUGAAAACAGCUCGCUGGGGCUGCGCUGACGCUGAGACACGAAAGCCAGGGGAGCGAACGGG